rnacentral:sRNA from 1 species
UAUCAUAAAUACAUCAUCAAUUAUUUUCGUUUCGAUU